rnacentral:rRNA from 1 species
ACUUUAAGCGAGGAGGAGGCUCCUUUAGUUAAUACCUAAAGAGAGUGGACGUUACUCGCAGAAUAAGCACCGGCUAACUCUGUGCCAGCAGCCGCGGUAAUACAGAGGGUGCGAGCGUUAAUCGGAUUUACUGGGCGUAAAGCGUGCGUAGGCGGCUUUUUAAGUCGGAUGUGAAAUCCCUGAGCUUAACUUAGGAAUUGCAUUCGAUACUGGAGAGCUAGAGUAUGGGAGAGGAUGGUAGAAUUCCAGGUGUAGCGGUGAAAUGCGUAGAGAUCUGGAGGAAUACCGAUGGCGAAGGCAGCCAUCUGGCCUAAUACUGACGCUGAGGUACGAAAGCAUGGGGAGCAAACAGGAUUAGAUACCCUGGUAGUCCAUGCCGUAAACGAUGUCUACUAGCCGUUGGGGCCUUUGAGGCUUUAGUGGCGC